rnacentral:rRNA from 1 species
UACGUAGGUGGCAAGCGUUGUCCGGAUUUAUUGGGUUUAAAGGGUGCGUAGGUGGCCCUGUAAGUCAGUGGUGAAAUAUCUCAGCUUAACUGAGAGGGUGCCAUUGAUACUGCAGGGCUUGAGUACAGAUGAGGUAGGCGGAAUCGACGGUGUAGCGGUGAAAUGCAUAGAUAUCGUCAAGAACACCGAUAGCGAAGGCAGCUUACCAAGCUGUAACUGACACUGAGGCACGAAAGUGUGGGGAUCAAACAGG